rnacentral:rRNA from 1 species
AUUGAACGCUGGCGGCAGGCCUAACACAUGCAAGUCGAAUGGUAACAGGAAACAGCUUGCUGUUUCGCUGACGAGUGGCGGACGGGUGAGUAAUGUCUGGGAAACUGCCUGAUGGCGGGGGAUAACUACUGGAAACGGUAGCUAAUACCGCAUAACGUCGCAAGACCAAAGAGGGGGACCUUCGGGCCUCUUUCCAUCAGAUGUGCCCAGAUGGGAUUAGCUAGUAGGUGGGGUAACGGCUCACCUAGGCGACGAUCCCUAGCUGGUCUGAGAGGAUGACCAGCCACACUGGAACUGAGACACGGUCCAGACUCCUACGGGAGGCAGCAGUGGGGAAUAUUGCACAAUGGGCGCAAGCCUGAUGCAGCCAUGCCGCGUGUAUGAAGAAGGCCUUCGGGUUGUAAAGUACUUUCAGCGGGGAGGAAGGGAGUAAAGUUAAUACCUUUGCUCAUUGACGUUACCCGAAGAAGAAGCAACGGCUAACUCCGUG